rfam:Lingula anatina scaffold1541, whole genome shotgun sequence.
GUCCCCGUGGCCUAAUGGAUAAGGCAUCGGCCUCCGGAGCCGGGGAUUGUGGGUUCGAGUCCCACCGGGGACG